rnacentral:rRNA from 1 species
UGGGGAAUAUUGGACAAUGGGCGCAAGCCUGAUCCAGCCAUGCCGCGUGGGUGAUGAAGGCCCUAGGGUUGUAAAGCCCUUUCGGCGGGGAAGAUAAUGACGGUACCCGCAGAAGAAGCCCCGGCCAACUUCGUGCCAGCAGCCGCGGUAAUACGAAGGGGGCUAGCGUUGCUCGGAAUCACUGGGCGUAAAGCGCACGUAGGCGGGCACUUAAGUCGGGGGUGAAAUCCUGGAGCUCAACUCCAGAACUGCCUUCGAUACUGAGUGUCUUCGAGUCCGGGAGAGGUGAGUGGAACUCCGAGUGUAGAGGUGAAAUUCGUAGAUAUUCGGAAGAACACCAGUGGCGAAGGCGGCUCACUGGCCCGGUACUGACGCUGAGGUGCGAAAGCGUGGGGAGCAAACA